CCUACGGGAGGCAGCAGUGAGGAAUAUUGGUCAAUGGGCUUACGCCUGAACCAGCCAAGUCGCGUGAGGGAAGACUGCCCUAUGGGUUGUAAACCUCUUUUGUCAGGGAGCAACGCCGGCUACGCGUCUCCGGAUGAGUGUACCCGAAGAAAAAGCAUCGGCUAACUCCGUGCCAGCAGCCGCGGUAAUACGGAGGAUGCGAGCGUUAUCCGGAUUUAUUGGGUUUAAAGGGUGCGCAGGCGGGAGAUCAAGUCAGCGGUAAAAUGUCGGGGCUCAACCCCGGCCGGCCGUUGAAACUGGUUUUCUAGAGUUGGAGAGAAGUAUGCGGAAUUCGUGGUGUAGCGGUGAAAUGCAUAGAUAUCACGAAGAACUCCGAUUGCGAAGGCAGCAUACCGGCUCCAUACUGACGCUGAGGCACGAAAGCGUGGGGAUCGAACAGGAUUAGAUACCCGAGUAGUC
rnacentral:rRNA from 1 species